rnacentral:rRNA from 1 species
AGAGUUUGAUCCUGGCUCAGGAUGAACGCUGGCGGUAUGCCUAACACAUGCAAGUCGAACGGUGUCUUCGGACACAGUGGCGGACGGGUGAGUAACGCGUGAGAAUCUGCCUCUAGGUUGGGGACAACAGUUGGAAACGACUGCUAAUACCCGAUGUGCCGUAAGGUAAAAGAUUUAUUGCCUGGAGAGGAGCUCGCGUCUGAUUAGCUAGUUGGUGGGGUAAAAGCCUACCAAGGCAGCGAUCAGUAGCUGGUCUGAGAGGAUGAGCAGCCACACUGGGACUGAGACACGGCCCAGACUCCUACGGGAGGCAGCAGUGGGGAAUUUUCCGCAAUGGGCGAAAGCCUGACGGAGCAAUACCGCGUGAGGGAGGAAGGCCUUUGGGUUGUAAACCUCUUUUCUCAGGGAAGAAGAACUGACGGUACCUGAGGAAUAAGCAUCAGCUAACUCCGUGCCAGCAGCCGCGGUAAUACGGAGGAUGCAAGCGUUAUCCGGAAUCAUUGGGCGUAAAGCGUCCGCAGGUGGUUUUUCAAGUCUGCUGUUAAAGACUGGAGCUCAACUCCGGAAAGGCAGUGGAAACUGAGAAACUAGAGUUCGGUAGGGGUAGCGGGAAUUCCCAGUGUAGCGGUGAAAUGCGUAGAUAUUGGGAAGAACAUCGGUGGCGAAGGCGCGCUACUGGACCGAAACUGACACUCAGGGACGAAAGCUAGGGGAGCGAAAGGGAUUAGAUACCCCUGUAGUCCUAGCUGUAAACGAUGGAAACUAGGUGUGGCUUGUAUCGACCCGAGCCGUGCCGUAGCUAACGCGUUAAGUUUCCCGCCUGGGGAGUACGCACGCAAGUGUGAAACUCAAAGGAAUUGACGGGGGCCCGCACAAGCGGUGGAGUAUGUGGUUUAAUUCGAUGCAACGCGAAGAACCUUACCUGGGUUUGACAUGUACCGGACCGCCGGUGAAAGCCGGUUUCUCUUAGUAGCUGGUACACAGGUGCUGCAUGGCUGUCGUCAGCUCGUGCCGUGAGGUGUUCGGUUAAGUCCGGCAACGAGCGCAACCCGUGUCGUCAGUUGCCAUCACGUAAUGGUGGGCACUCUGGCGAGACUGCCCGUGUCAAGCGGGAGGAAGGCGCGGAUGACGUCAAGUCCGUAUGGCUCUUACAUCCAGGGCUGCACACGUGCUACAAUGGCCGGUACAAUGGGACGCGAAACCGCGAGGUGGAGCCAAUCCCCAAAACCGGUCCCAGUUCGGAUUGGAGUCUGCAACUCGACUCCAUGAAGCCGGAAUCGCUAGUAAAGGGGUAUCAGCAACGGCCCCUUGAAUACGUUCCCGGGCCUUGUACACACCGCCCGUCACAUCAUGGAAGCCGGCUGCACCCGAAGUCGCUGACCC